GUUCUCCAAGACCUGUCAAAGAUGACAGAGGGUGUCAGCAGUCACAUCUGCCAUCUCCCCCAGCACAUGUGGAUGCAUCCCGCCGGUGAUUUUUUACAGGAGAAAGGUGUGGCACGAUACCGCAGCUCUUCACAGCUUCAAAGCAUUACGUGCACAGUACAGAUACAGAUGUCCUGAGUGUUUCACCUCAUUCACCCAACUGGUAAUGGGAAGGUUAGGAACAGUAAAAAACAUCAUCUUCUUCCAGAAGGCCUUGAAAACCUGUUGGAAAGGCGACACCUCCUAUGGAAGCUUUGCUGGUAAUUCAGAUGUUCGUGAUAUGUGAAUCCUUACCUUAGAAGUCGUGCUUGAUUGGAUUUGCUGCAGUGUUUCGGGUGAGGAACUGCAUUUCUGGAGGAAUUUCUACUUCUUG
rnacentral:lncRNA from 1 species